ACUCAAAUGAAUUGACGGGGACCCGCACAACCAGUGGAGCGUGUGGUUCAAUUUGAGACGAAGCAAAAAACCUCACCAGGGAUUGACAUAUUUUUGUAAGCGUGAUGAAAGUCGCGCCCUCCCGCAAGGGACAAUUUUACAGGUGUUGCAUGGCUGUCGUCAGCUCGUGCCGUGAGGUGUUCCCUUAAGUGGGGAAACGAGUGCAACCCUUGUCCUGUGUUAAAUCUUCACAGGAGACUGCCCCCGCUUUGCGGGGGAGGAAGGAGAGGCGGACGUCAAGUCAGCAUGACCCUUAUACCCUGGGCUACACACACCCUACAAUGGCGAAAAACAAUGAGUUGCAAGCCGGUAACGGCAAGCUAAUCUCUGAAAUUUCGCCUCAGUUCAGAUUGGGGUCUGAAACCCGACCCCAUGAAGUCGGAAUUGGUAGUAAUCGCGGAUCAGCGGGCCGCGGUGAAUACGUUCUCGGGUCUUGUACACACCGCCCGU
rnacentral:rRNA from 1 species